ACUACAGGGAAGCUGGUAGUUUUACAUUUUGUCAUUGGAUUAAUUUCAUGUCUCACUUCAUAAAUUUUCUAAACUUUAGGGUUUUGUUUCUAAAUUUUCAAAAUAAGGGUAUGGUUACCUCCCUCUUGAAGUGGCUGUAAGGAGUAUAGCUAGAUAUAGAUGUAGAUAUAGAUAUAGAUAGAUAAUGAAUGUAAAUCCCCUAGCACAGUGCCUGGUGUUUAGUAGCUACUCAAUUAAAGGAAGCUUUUAAUUAUAUGAACAAUUAAUAUCCUUUUUUGUUCAUUUCUGGGCUUGCUCAAAAGUAUCUACUACUGAGAUAUUUUGGAGCUUACUCAAAGUAUCUAGUACUCAUUUCCUCCUAGCUCUGGAGGAACACAGCAGUUGUUGGGAUGACUAUAAUAGGCCUAGUACUGCAUAGGAAGAAAAGAAAGAGAAAGAUUGACUUUGCAUUCUGGGUUCUGUGAGCUCUUGGGUUUGGCACAACUCUCUGUAUCACCAAGCUACAUAUGGACAAUGAUGCUCUGUGACUACUCUGCUACUACCACGGCUAUCACACUUAGGAAUACUGCUAGAGUUUUGGGUGUUAACUCUGUGCCAGUGGUUUAUAUACGACAAUAUUGUUGUCUAGUGUUAUUAUGCUGAUUUUAUAAAUGAGACAACUGAGGCUUAAGAGGUUAAGCAACUUGUCCAGUAUCCCAAAAUUAGUGAGAAAUACAGAUGAGAUUAAUACCUAAGAAGGUUUGGCUUAAAAACCCAUGCUCUUAACCACCUUGCUAUACAGCCCAAGUGGUCUGAAAAUUUGCCCUGGGGAGACAGAAGGGAAAAGCAGGGACAGAAGAACUGUAUCUCUGCAGCUUGGCCAAGUCUGUCAAACAGGGGAGAUUGACUGAAGCAACUGCUUUCCCUUUCUUCAUGCCAAGCAAAGAACUCAGAGAAGAGCAUACCCAAGGUGAACAUGUUCCCCUUUGAUCUAAGGACGCAUUAACCUGUUUUCAGAAUGGUCGCCAACAAAAUCAGCACUGUGGCACCUCUGGUGGUUUUCAUUCUUCAUGGUCUUCCUAGAAGAAGAGAGAGCUUAGAAGUGGUUCUGCUGAGAGUGGGGUGUGAACUUAUAAAUAAGCUGAUCGCGUUUUCAUCAUGGGCUCAGGAAACCUCCCAGAGACAUGGAUGCCCUUGGCAUAAAUUAUACUGACAACCCUACCUCCCGGGCCACCCAACACCCAGUCCCAGCUAGCUGUGUGAUCCUGGGCAGCCAAUGGACCUCUCUGAGCUUCAGUUUUCUCAUCUGCAAAAUGAGCGCUUUGAACCUGAUGACUCCUCGGUGUCCUCCUGUUCUGCAGUGCCAUGCUUUCAACACUGUCCAGUCCAUUCCAGAUGCUUCCCCAUCGUGAAGAUCCUCCGGGUCACCUAUGCACUCCUGCUAAUCUCUGCCAUUUGCCUUCUUACACCCUUUCCAUACCUUCCCGUGGAACACGGUAAUCUGGUUUCCAGAUGGGCUAAUGUCUCCUCCUAGCUGCAAGGCAGCGGCGCUUCUGGCGUUGGUUUCCGCACUAAACUUGAUGGUCUGAUUUUAAAGGUUGAUUUUAAAGAA
rnacentral:lncRNA from 10 species